ACCAACACCAACGAGUGCCCUCUUUGUAGUCAACACAAUCACGUUUCCUCUGCUCACCAAUACCGCCUUAUCUCCAUCAUCAACGUUAUCCUCAACCGAUCUCUCCCUCUUCUCCUCAUCCGUUUCCGUCAGUUCUUUGAUAUACAUAUUCCUCAGUCAAAGAUCUAAAGAUCCAACACACACCAAAAAAAAAAACAAUCUAUUCUCCUGCCAACCGAUGCCCUAAUAAUCAAUCACCAGUCUUAUAUACACAGACACGAUUAUUCACAAUCCUAAUUGAUUCGAAGACAAAGCCAAGAAGAAAGUCUA